CAAUGUACAGGGAUACUGGAGUGAUGGAGGUAGAUAUGUAUAGGGGGAAGGAGACUAUAUACAGGGUCAGUACCAUAUUAACAAUGUACAGGGAUACUGGAGUGAUGGAGGUAGAUAUGUAUAGGGGGAAGGAGACUAUAUACAGGGUCAGUACCAUAUUAACAAUGUACAGGGAUACUGGAGUGAUGGAGGUAGAUAUGUAUAGGGGGAAGGAGACAGGGAUACUGGAGUGAUGGAGGUAGAUAUGUAUAGGGGGAAGGAGACAGGGAUACUGGAGUGAUGGAGGUAGAUAUGUAUAGGGGGAAGGAGACUAUAUACAGGGUCAGUACCAUAUUAACAAUGUACAGGGAUACUGGAGUGAUGGAGGUAGAUAUGUAUAGGGGGAAGGAGACUAUAUACAGGGUCAGUACCAUAUUAACAAUGUACAGGGAUACUGGAGUGAUGGAGGUAGAUAUGUAUAGGGGGAAGGAGACAGGGAUACUGGAGUGAUGGAGGUAGAUAUGUAUAGGGGGAAGGAGACAGGGAUACUGGAGUGAUGGAGGUAGAUAUGUAUAGGGGGAAGGAGACUAUAUACAGGGUCAGUACCAUAUUAACAAUGUACAGGGAUACUGGAGUGAUGGAGGUAGAUAUGUAUAGGGGGAAGGAGACAGGGAUACUGGAGUGAUGGAGGUAGAUAUGUAUAGGGGGAAGGAGACUAUAUACAGGGUCAGUACCAUAUUAACAAUGUACAGGGAUACUGGAGUGAUGGAGGUAGAUAUGUAUAGGGGGAAGGAGACUAUAUACAGGGUCAGUACCAUAUUAACAAUGUACAGGGAUACUGGAGUGAUGGAGGUAGAUAUGUAUAGGGGGAAGGAGACUAUAUACAGGGUCAGUACCAUAUUAACAAUGUACAGGGAUACUGGAGUGAUGGAGGUAGACAUGUUUAGGGGUAAGGUGACUAGGCAUCAGGAUGUAUGAAAAACGGCAGC